ACAGAGGCCCCAAGCGUUAGGCGGAAUCACUGGGCUUAAAGCGUGUGUAGGCGGAUCGUUAAGUGUCUUGUGAAAUCCCACGGCUCACCCGUGGAACUGCUGGGCAUACUGGCGAUCUUGGGCCAACUAGGGGCAGUCGGAACAAGCGGUGGAGCGGUGAAAUGCGUAGAUAUCGCUUGGAACGCCGAAGGUGAAAACAGACUGCUGGGGUUGCGCCGACGCUGAGACACGAAAGCCAGGGGAGCAAACGGGA
rnacentral:rRNA from 1 species